rnacentral:rRNA from 1 species
GUUAGUUUUUUAAUUGGAAUCUUGUAUGAAUGGUUAGACAAAAGAAAAUCUGUCUCUAUAUUAAAAUUUGAAUUUAACUUUUAAGUGAAAAGGCUUAAAUAAAUUAAAGGGACGAUAAGACCCUAUAAAGCUUAAUAAGCAAGAAGAAAUUGAUUAAAUUUUUAAUAAAGGUUUUUGAAUUAAGGUUUAUUUUAUUGGGGUGAUAAAGGUAAAAUUGUUAUUAACUGCUUGAAAUAAUAAACAUAAAUUUUUGGUUAAAGUUAUAGUUGAUCCUAGUUAAAGAUUAAAAGUUUAAGUUACUUUAGGGAUAACAGCGUUAUUUUUUUUGAGAGUACAUAUCGAAAAGGAAGUUUGCGACCUCGAUGUUGAAUUAAAAUUUCUUUAUAAUAGCAGAAGUUAUAAAAGUUGGUCUGUUCGACCUUUAAAAUUUUA